GAGGGUGUAGCUCGGUGGUAGAGUGUGUGCUUAGCAUGCCCAAGGUCCUGGGUUCAAUCCCCAGUACCUCCA
rnacentral:tRNA from 1 species